rnacentral:lncRNA from 1 species
CACUGCCCCUCAGGGGGCAGGGGGCUGGUGAUUCCUGAGGGAGCCCUGCCCCCUUCCAGGGUGAAUUUUCCUAAGUCACCAUGGAGAACCAGCAGCCCAGAAUCAGUGCCCUGCCAGGCAGGAUUGCUUGGCCAUAACAAAGAUCCAUUGCCUUUCUGAUGACACCCAGCACCUCGGAUUCUGUAUACACGGGAGGUGAUUUAAGCAUCUUACUGCCACCCUGAAAUCUGGGGUCCUUUAUCCUGGCAGGAUCUAGACCCGUAACGCCCACUUCAGAAUGGGAGGGAGGAUGUCUGCUGCCCUGUCGUCUCCACACCCGAGGAAUGUCCGUGUGUGUGUGUGUGUGGUGUGCACAGCGGGCUGCACACAGCGGGCUCCACGGUGCUCGGAUGGAGGCCCUAAUGUGAAUGGAGACUAGCCUGCUGGUAGAGACCUUGGCAGUGACCGCUGUGGGCAAUGAGCCAUGGGCCAACAAUGUUCAAUGCUGUGUACCUGAUGGAUGGUUACUGUCUGAGACUGAGGCUUUUUGGGCCAGGAGUAAAAGGACUUGGGUUGUACUUGAUUGCGUCCUGUGGAUGCUUGCCUACCAACUGACUCAUCCUGACGUGCCAAAGGUCCUGGCUUUCCCCUGUGUGGGUAAGGGAAGAAGAGAGUUCUGUUCACUUCAACCCCACGAUCCUAAGCACACCUGUACCUGCCCUGGAAUCCCUCAGCCAUGUUUGUCCCACAGAGCAUCACUAUCAAACAGUUCACUGUGGACUCCUCGUAGCAGAAGUACAGUAGGGGACAGCAAGUGUCAGCUCCAUCAGGACCCCUGAUUUAAUUAUUUACUGUGGAACCAUUGUCCUGAGUCAGGAGGAUAGAUGAGGAAAGGAUGAGAGCGUGGCUGGCAUCGCUUCAUGAUUACAUUCUGGGAAAGAUCUUGCCUGUUAACCUCUAGAGAAGGAGGGACGAUACAGACGAUGAAGACUAUAGCAGACUGAAUUACUCUCUGAGAUGAGGACUUUGCUAUUGCCAUUGCAGGACCACUGGUGGAAGUUGUUGUUAAACAGUGGGUCUUGCAUGCAAGCUCUACAGUUAUGCACAGUAUUUCCAUGACAUCCCAAGCCAUGAGGUUCAUGCUGCCAUAUCCCCCUGUUUAACAAGUGUGGAAACUGAUGAUGGACUCACAAUUGCUGAUGUAUAGGUUCUAAUGUUUUCUAUUGUGGACACGGGACACCCAGACUGAGGACCAAUGGCUCCAGUCUGAUUUAAACAUGGGUCCGUGCUCACACACUCAAUACCUACCCUCUGUGCUCACAAGUCCUGUGUGAGUAAGACUCCAAAUUAUUCUGUCUUGUUUUACUCAAUGGUAUGCUCUACCUUAUUAUAGAGUAUACCAUGUAUUGAGACAAGAAUGCCAGUCAUUCUGAGAAACAAAAUGCAACCAUUAGUUGUCAUUUUAAUUAGUGACGAAUAGUUGUGUCAAUCAUCAAACAUGCUUGUAUAAUUGGAUGAGAAGAGGUGUAACACGGGCCAAUGAUGACGAGGUUUCGGGAUUAUAAGUCACGGACGAUGACUACGUCACUAGAGGUCUGAGGUCCAUAGCAGAAGAUGCCUCAUGUGACCCUCUCAUGCAGGGGUUGCAUGUCAGGCAUGUGCAUACAGUAGAUAUUAGCCAUGCACUCUCACCAUUUCAUAGUAGAUCACAGAAUCAAGAUACAAAUCUCCAUGCACGGAAAGGAUUUAAGGCAUUGAUCAAUCCUGAACAUAAAUAUUUGGCCAUCAAUGAUAUUUACGCACACACUGAAAAAUCUAUUCAGAAUGACUUACACAAAGGUUUAUAUAACCUUUAUCAAAGGUAAUUUAUAUAGUAAGAUUCAUGGCUGAAGUCUUCAUGAUGGUCAAGGCCUUAAUUUUUAAAAUUAUCAAUUUUUUUCUUUUCUUUUUUUUUAACUUGAAUUUUUUUUUAAUGAAAACUAUCAUGACAAUUUGUCUCUUAAAUGAAAGGAGAAAUGUAAAACUAAAUGGACAAAUAUCAACCUUUUUAUUAUCUUUGCUGUUGUGCCCUCCCUGGAUGGGUGCUGGCACAUGAUGUCUUGCCUGCUGGUCCGUGGUUGCACUCUCACCAUGUGGAUGGAGCUCGGCAGCUGAAGUAAGUGAAGCCAAAGAUCUGCUCUUCAUUUGAGUUUCUUUGAUAAGACACCCCUGCUGUGGUAAAGCCAUGCAUAGGCUCCUUUCAGCCCUAUUCAGACUGUGUGCUCAACGCAACAUGACCACAAACACUGGGUUAAGAAUAGCCAAAAUUAAGACAGAGAGGCAGGGUGGCACAAGAUCUGUUAGUUAUUCAACAAACGAGGAUAGGAAUUUGUGAGGAAGACUUUACAAGUGAGAUGAAUAGUUAGGCAAUCCAUCACAACUAUAGGUCUGAGAGUCUCAGGUCCACACCAGAACACAGGUACAGCUACAGCUGUGAGCUAGAUAUCAGAAGUGGUUUAAUAUGUUAUCUUGAUCUUUAUAUUCAUGAGUUUUCAUUUUAUUUUUAUAAGGUAGCUAAAAUAUAACAAACAAUAGCACAUUGCAAUCUCAAAUUAUGAACAAUACACACAUCCAAAUUUCUAAGUGCAUUUUGAAUAUGUAGACGAGAUCUUUGUCCAGUGAUCGAUUUCUUAUAUUGGCAGAGCAGUUCUUAUAGUUAUCUUCCCUUCCCCAGAAAAGAGUACCAUGCAUUAUGUUUGUGGAAAAAAACACAAAACAACAUAAUUAUCAUUGGAACGAAUAUAAUUAUGUGCCUAGUCUGUUUUGUUUACAUCUGUAUGUGAUAUCUCAAGCUGUCUUCCCUUUCCUACCUAGUCCUGACACCUCUGACUAGCCUUGGGUCUUUAGAGCACAUUAGGCUGUGUAAAUGCAGUUCAUGUUCUUUUCUUACUAUGAACACUUCUCCUUAUUGACAAAUGAAUCCCUAAUAACUCAAGGAUGACACCCAUGUUUAAUGACAGAUGUAGCAUGUGACAGAUUUUAUUAAUAUUCAUAAAAUUAGGAUAGAUAUGAUGACACACGAAAUAAGCAAAGAUCCUUUAGAUAGCUCUAAAGCAUAUUUAAGAAUAUCAAUUAAAAGCUUUUAUAAGUCAUGUUUAUCUAAUUAGUAUAAAACAAUAAGGAUCUCAAUAAAUAAAUAUAAAGAUUAAUGAAAAUUUGUAGGGCUUAUGUUGGAUAAAUGAUAACCCCUGUCGCAUAUGAAUCAAGGACCAUGACUCCUGGGCUGCUCUUACAUCUUAAAGCCUGUGGUUCAUGCUUGGCAUUCUGGUUAUAGAUGCCAGAUGAAUGUUUGUGUUGAUUAAUUUUACUAUAUUCCAUACCUGAAGUCUGCUGAAGGAGUCAUUGAUGAAAUAACCCCAAAGUAAAUCCAGUAUUUUUAUUUGUUGACUGGAAAAUAAAUACAUGACAAAUUCUAGAAAUAUGCACAAAAUAACUGCACUUAAGAGUAUCUAUUGAUGUGAUUGGUACCAUGUUGAACUGUAAGUUGGGAAUCUUAGAGCCUGUCCAUUAUCAAAUAAAGUUCGGGAAGAAACCAGGGGAUAAAUAUGGAGGCCUUUACUGAAGCAGAGAUCACAGAGGAAUGUUUCUCGUUCUUCAUAACUUUCAUAGCUUGUUUUUUAUAGCUCCAAAGAGUAUUUAACGCACACCAGAUCCUAGCAAGCACUUAUUUCUUUAGGUGCAUCCCAAAAUAUAUCCAAAUAUUCGAAAAUAUACCCAAAAAUGGAGUGUUGGUAAUGCUUUUCUGGUUUCAAAGUUCAUGUGUUCAGAAUAUAAGGAUCAAUUUUUAUGUCAUUAAUGGAUGUACACUGAAAUGUAUCUGUGCAUUGAGUUACACUAUCUCAUCCAUAACCCUGAUACUAGUGGCAGAGUCUAGGAAUAGUCUUCCUUUAUAAUUAGACAAGAACAUUAACAGAAGUAAGUUUGUAAGUCACUUUCUAACACCAAACUACUCCAGAGACUAGAGAGACAGAUAGCUCAGUGGAUAAAAGAACUUACUGUUCUUGUAGAAGACCCACAGUGGGCUGAAUCGCCCAUGUGACAGCCUGUAACUCUAGUUCUUAUGUAUCUGGUACCAUCAUCUGGUCUCUUUACCACAUACAUGUGUCACAAAUACAAAAUGCAGAUUAAAAAAAUCAUUAAAUAGAUAAAAAUAAAAUAAAUAUUUGAGAAAAUAAUUCCACAUGAGUUAUUAAAAUUAGUUAUACCAUCAUUAUAUUAAAAAAUACAGUAAUUUAUGAAAACAGGAUGACUGAGGAGUAGACAGGAAAGAAAACUGUAAGAACCUUCUUAGUAUGGUUCAGAGCUAUAUGUCUAGUGUUUUACAUCAUAAUAGAACAUAUAGUAGUGUCACACAUACAGAUGUUUGAGAAGAGGUGCGAGGCAAGUACACAGAUCAUCUGAACAAAGGAACAAAAUACCAAUUUUCUUUUGUUGAUCUCUUCUGUUUUGAACUCUCAGAAUGCAUUCUUCCACCAAGAUGAUUUACACAGCCUAGCUGGAUCAGGAGCCCCCUAAUAAGCUGCUUCAGAUUGUAAUAUAGACACAGUGUAAGUACAGUCCAUAUUCUGCUGUCGCUUCAUGUUGCAUUUAAAGGCCAUUUACUGUAUUGAUAAGGGCACUAUCUGUUUUAGGAAGAACAGUCAAGUAAAGGCUGCGUAUGGCAUGUGUUUGACGCACAAGGUUUAAUGAAGUUGUUUCAAAUUAAGGAUAUGUAUUGAAAACUGCUUCAUAACUCAAAAAGAAACUGAGGAACUCUGAAGUUUACUGGAAUCUCUUGUCUUUAGUUUUUUGGUGUUUUUUUGGUGGUUUUUUUGUUUUUGUUUUUGUUUUUUUUUUUUGUGAAUCACAAUGAUCCCAGUAGUACUUGUAAUCGUUUGCACACUAAAGAUGCCUACGUGAGUAGAGAAGCAGAGACUGAUGUUGGAUCAAUGAUGACUGUGGGUGCUGUAUGAGUCGUGUAUUAUGACUAUGCGUCUGAGAGUCUGAGGUUCACAUCGUAAUAUAUGUAGAGCAUCCUAUGAUCUUAGUGACAGAUGUUAGGAGUAGUCUACAUUUACAUGUAGAUAAAAUGGUGAUACAUUUGGAAAUCAUUUCUAAUAAGACAUAAUUCCAUAGCAAUAAUGUUAAGCACAUAGACUAAAUAGUGUUUCAUUCAGAUAUGAUAACUGGGGGUUCCCCAUGAGUGAUCUAAAAUUGUUAGCAAAGUUCUUGCUCACCUCAGAGCCAUGCCCAUUUGAUCUGUAAUGCAGAGAUAGUAAUAGAAUAAUGAAGACCUCAUGAGGGAUAUGGUGGAGAAUGACCCAGAGAAGCAGACGGAAUGCAGUUACCUAAACAGAAUCUUAACCUUUUUAUAAUUUUUCUGCUUUUUGCUCUCAGAAUGUAUGCCUGCAGGAUGAGUCCCACCUUCUUCAUUAGUCUUGAGGUUUGAGAUUCCCUGUUUGUGUCUGCAGGAUUCAGAUAGUGUGAGUAUAGUCUGUGUUCUUGUGUUGGAAUUCUUUUGCUUGCAUAAAAACAGGGUAGAAAAUAUUUCUGGGGCUGGUGAGAUGGCUCAGAGGUUGAGAGCACUGACUGUUCUCCCUGAUGUCCUGAGUUCAAUUCCCAGCAACCCCAUGGUGGCUCACAACCAUCUGUAAGGGCUCUGAUGCACUCUUCUGGUGUGUCUGAUGACAGCAGCAGUGUACUCCUGUUCCUAAAAUAAAUAAUUAUUUUAAAUACAUUAUUAUCUCUGAAGAGCAGAUGUAGCCAUAGGCAUAUAAGAUGUAUAUGAAGCACAAUGUUUAAUAAAAUUUUACCAAAUUAAGAUUGUGCAACAAUAGAGAUAGGCAUCAGUGCAGAAGAUCCCGUAGAGGUUUAACUGCACUCACGGAUCUUAUAGUUAGGGCUUGUCUCCAGUGGAGAUUUUCGCAAUGGUCCUAGUCAUCCAUUGCUCAAUAAUUUUACAUAGAUUAGUAGGGAAGAGGAGGACUGAUGUUGGAUCAAUGAUGAAUGUCUGUGAGCAUUCUUAGAGUCAUGAAUCAUGACGACAAAUUUAAUUCUGAGAUCAACAUCAUAAAGUAUCCAGUGACAGCUAUAAGAAGUAGUCUUCUUUUAUAAGUCAGUAAAUGUAAAUAAAAAUUGACUAGGAAGUCAUUUAAUCAAAAGGCAGCUCACAAAGAAGACUACAUAUAUGUAUAUAUGUAUAUAUGUAAGAAGAAAGUGUGACAGAGUAAUGACCAUGGAGGUGAGGGAUAAGAUGAAAUGAGCAGAAGCAGGCAGAAUACAUAGAUAAGCGAACGGAACAUCAAUCUCUUUAUAACCUCUUCUGUCUAUACUUCAAGAAUGGAUAUCCUGCAAGUCGGCUUCGUAGAGUCUCCCUUGAAAGUGGACCUCAUGAUCUAGCCUUUAUGUCCGUGGAUUGACACUGUGAUGGAUUCCCCCCAAGUUCAUUUAGAUAUUCUCUCUUAUUCAUAAAUGUCACGGUCAGCUCUGUUCUUAUAGAUACCAGGUGAGUAUAGCCAACGUUCUUUUGUUGCUUCAUGUUGCUUUUUAAUGGCUGUGCAUAUACUGAGAAAAGAAAGUCCAGUUAUUAUCUGGGAAGAGCAUCCCGCUUAAAGUGUUAAAUGGCAGUUAGAUGAAACAGAAUGUUUAUGAGUAUUUCCAGAAGAGGAAUGUAUAACAGAAAAGAUUCUAAUCAUGGCAAAAGAUCCUGAGGACCUUCAGAGUACACGCAACGAUCUUGUCCUUAGAUUGUGUCAUUUAUUAUCAUCUUAGAGGCACUAGUGAGAUUAAUUGCUCAUAAGAUAUCAUUCUAUAGAAAGUGUACUAAAAUUACAUACCAAACUCAGUAGUUAAUAAACAGUGGUUAAUUGAGCUUGCCAUGUAAUGUGUUACUUGGUAGGUUCAUAGCCAUAGCCAUUUCUUUUCUCAUAAAAUAUUCAUUAUAGUAUGCCAUACACUUAGAUGAGUGACAAAAAGCACAGGGCUGUGAAUGCAAUGGUCUGUAGACAGAGUGUCAUGGGUUUUCUUUAAUAAUUUCUUCUGCUUUUGCUCUCAGAAUGGAUACCCCAAGGAUGGAUACCCCUAAGCUGAUGUAUAUACACCCUUCCUCGGUUGUGAGAUUCCUGCUCUGGUGGUUGUAGUCAUAAGAUAUACAUCGUUGCGUACACCUUGGUUGUGGGCACGCACACUACUGUUGAAUUACCACCUUGUCCAAGUGGAUGGAUGCCCUCAAUGGGAUUGGCACUUUCUCCAUUGCUCCUGCACUCUGUUAUCAGCACUUCGGGUUCAUAAUGUACACACAGCGAUGGAUUUUCUGCAGCUGAUUUUCUAUAUUCUGUUUUCUUCGGGUAAGCAGAGACAGAUGCCUUCCUCACUGGUCACCAGGUUCAAGGUCCCUCAUAUGUGUCAGGUGCAUAGUCACCAACGUCCUAGAAUUUAAAGACCAUUGGUCUAGGGAGAAGUAUGCUGUGGCCAUGAAAUGCUUGGUUGACUAAUUAAUAUUAUUGAAAUUAAGUUUAAUUUAAGCAGACAUAAUAACCUUAGGCAAAGGAGCUAAAAUAUUUAUGUAAAUUAUAAUUAAAGAUGUUUUUCAUGAUUAAUAAUAAUCAGCUAAUAAACAAUAAUAAUGAAAGUUUAUCGGAGAAACCAGAGGCGGAGGUUGGAUCAGUGGUGACAUCUUGUUGGAGGUGAGCAGUGGAGCAGGAGAACAGGUCCGGAAGUCUGAGUCCCAUCCCUUACAGGCAUCUCCUGUGCUUUCCUCCGAGGCAUUAAAGCUUGCACAAUUGAGAACCACAAAGAAAAACAAAGAGAUCUCAUCUAAGUAGUAAAAGACACUGUGCAUGACUUAAGCAUCUUGUCCCUAACUCUUCUUGAUUCGUUGUCACCUAAGUGUCAUUAGGAAAAUUUCAGAUUUAUUAACUAACAAAUGUAGAAAUCAAUGGAACUAGACCUAUCUUGGGUUAUGGACAACCACUGUAUUUACAGUUCUGUAUAUCUGAAGUCCACCCUGACCCUUAGACAUGGUUCUCCACACAGAUGUGAGAACAGUAGCACCAUUAUAUCCUGUCUCGUAGUAUUAAUGGGCUCACAAGAAUAAAAUGCAGAUAAGAAAGAAUUCUUCUAUUAAAAGAACAAAAUAAGAUUGAAGGAAGGCCAACUUCACAUCAAUGGGUGGAUCGUACCUCGGCCUAAGCUCCAGGAUUGAUUGUGCUGUUAGAGUCACAGCUACAACCGGCUCAGGGAACCCAGUGGAAGAGGAGGUGGAGUGUGAGAGCCAAUUGGAAUGGAAGACAGUGAGGAAACAAGGCCUUCGAGACACAAGAGGACUGCUGAGCUCACAAAGACUGAGGCAGCACCCUCAGGACCUGCACAGGUCUAAGCUUGAUGCGAUCUGAGUACUGAGAGGGCAACUGGACACAAUUCUAUAUUGAUAACCCAGAAGCUUUCUCCAGUUGAUAAACUCUUUCAAAGGAAAAACUUGUUUUCUACCAUGGAGUGACACUGGAUAUAGAAACUACCGUUAACAGCAGACUCCAUGGCUCAGACUUCCAAUACAAUAUGAACUCAGUUGCAAUUUUUUGCAAGGUUUUUCGACUCAUAGUUCUUUGUCUGGGUACUUUUUCACCCUACAGAGAAUUUCUGUAUAUAUUAUCGUUUCUGAUUCUAGUGUUUUGAAUUUUCGCUGGGUCUAAAUAUCUCUGUCUCAGUGUCAGUAUGUGUUUCUCAUGAUUUUUCUUUGCUUCUCUUUUUCCUAUUCUUUGCUUGUAUUCCCUGGUUUGUGUUUGAGUGUCUGGGAACUCUGAGGGUCUGGUUGGUGAUAUUGUUGUUCUUCCUAUGGGGUUGAAAACCCCUUCAGCUCCUUCAGCCUUUCACUAAGUCCUCCAUUAUUAUGAUUCCUAUGCUCAGUCCAGUGGUUGGAUGUGAGCCCCCCCCCCCCUCUGCAUUUGUCAGGCUCCGGCAGAGCCUCUAAGGAGAUAGCUAUAUUAGGCUCUUGUCAGCUUUGUUUGUUUUUAUUCUGUCUUCUCUAUACUGUUUAUUUUAGAUAACUGUGUUUAUUCUAAUGUAUGAAUGAAUAAAUGGGUGUGUGUUUGGGUGGGUGGGGAAUUGGGGAGGGUGGGGGUGGAUGUGGGAGGGGAAACUGUAACACAAAUACAUUGUAUAAAAGUACAUUUUAAUAAAUGUAUUUCUUCUAUGACUA